rnacentral:rRNA from 1 species
CGGAUGAACGCUGGCGGCGUGCCUAACACAUGCAAGUCGAGCGAAUGAAGUUCCUUCGGGAACGGAUUUAGCGGCGGACGGGUGAGUAACACGUGGGCAACCUGCCUCAUAGAGGGGAAUAGCCUUCCGAAAGGGAGAUUAAUACCGCAUAAGAUUGUAGUACCGCAUGGUACAGCAAUUAAAGGAGCAAUCCGCUAUGAGAUGGGCCCGCGGCGCAUUAGCUAGUUGGUGAGGUAACGGCUCACCAAGGCGACGAUGCGUAGCCGACCUGAGAGGGUGAUCGGCCACAUUGGGACUGAGACACGGCCCAGACUCCUACGGGAGGCAGCAGUGGGGAAUAUUGCACAAUGGGGGAAACCCUGAUGCAGCAACGCCGCGUGAGUGAUGACGGCCUUCGGGUUGUAAAGCUCUGUCUUCAGGGACGAUAAUGACGGUACCUGAGGAGGAAGCCACGGCUAACUACGUG